rnacentral:misc_RNA from 1 species
AGUUGGUGUCAUUUUUUGCAAAAAGCGAGAGGAAAUGAAAGAGAGGGUUAGCUAAUGUAUUUUCUUCUAUAAGUGUGCCAUUUGUCUUGUUAUAAUUGGACUAAAUUUGAAUUAUUUACUGUUCACUCACACAAAUGGGCACGUAUUCGUGCUCCAUGCUGAUAAAGCAAAAUUGUGCUCAAUUGUUAUGAAAUUUGCAAGUUCAGGAGUUUAAUAGGUUUCUCGAAAAGUUCAAGGGUAUGAUGGAUUAAAGCAAACAGGUUUUGGGGUGAAAUAAUGUAUUUGGCCUAAGAUA